GGGACGACCUGCAUUUUCCAAAAGGGAGAAUUAACUCAUCUGUUCUGUGACCGCCUCAAGCCAUGGAUGAGGAUUCUGUGCUGGAGACCACUAUGUGAAGAUCAGACAGCGAGUUAUGACAGACUUAGGCGUAGCCUUAAGAUAUGACAGUUCUCCAGUUUUAAAUGAGGCAGAGACACUCGUAUAUGGGAGCAUCUGUGCAAAUAGAAGUAUUUCAAAAUGCAGGUGACAAGCAGGCUGCUGUAUCUGUGUGUGUGUGUGUGUGUGUGUGUGUGUGUGUGUGUGUGUGUGUGUGUGUGUGUGUGUGUGUGCAAAGGUAGGAUGUUCUUGGUGGUGUAGAAAGUGCAUGUGCUUGUGUGUCAGUGCAUAUGAUCACUUUAUGUGUGCAUGUAUGUGUGUGCUUCUAAGUCCCAGAAAGGAAACAAGAUUUUUAAAAGAAAGAAACUCAGAUGAGAUCAGACGUGUCAGGCGUGCAUGGCAGAAGGAUUUGCAAAGAUGAACAAGGAGAAAGUGGAUUUAUUUAGAAAGUACAGAACAGGGUGGAGGAGAUAUUUAGUUUUGAGGAGGGGGAGGAGGAGGAGGAGGAGGGUGGGGGUUUAAGCUACUGGUGUAGCAUUUCUGGAGAAACAGCAGCUGCAAAGGGGACAGCUGGGUGGCCGGCUCAAGGAGGACGGCCGGGGGAAAGUGCCUUCGUCUUAAAAGUUUGCUCUGAGUACAUUUCCAUCAUUUGCAUUCUCUCUGAGGAAGAUUCACCAAGGAAUGUCGAGCUGGCCUCAUUACUGGACGUUCUCCAUCAUCUUCAGAAACUCUGCAGAGAAAAAGAAGGCGACAGUCGAUCAACCAAUCCAGAAUAACUAUCGUCUUCAGUGUGUUUACAAAGCCUGCACGUGAGCUUUUGGGUUUGAGUUCAAUCGUGGAGAACACGUGAUUGUGACGCAUAAUUGUCGCACAUAAAACACUCCAUGUCUGCUCGUUUUAGCUGUAAUCAUUAUGAAAUAAGGACUAAUGUUUCUGUGUCUGCUCAUGUGCUCACAGACUCAAGUAUCAUUUUCAUCCACAUGCUAAAAUGCCUCGUGUAUUUAAACACAGAAGGAACCUGUCCGUGUGAGCCGGCUUGUGACGGUGUGAGCUGUAGUCCUCUUAAAGUCCACCAGUAUUGUUUUUGAGGUUGAUAAAAGGGGAAGUUAAUAAAGAGAGCUGUGUAAUUAUA